GCCAGGGCCAGCAGCCUUCAGUUCGUAGCUGGCAGUAGAAGGAGGAGGAGCUCCCACUACAUUCUGUCACUUGUGCCUCUUGGACUUUUUUGUGUGUUUAGGUGCCCAAUGGGGAGCAAACUGACUUGCUGCCUGGGCCCCAGCGGUGGCCUCAACUGUGACAGCUGCAGGCCAGAUGUGGGACCCUGCCAUGAGUGUGAGAUUCCUGAGACUGUGGCAGCCGCAGCACCAGCAUCCACCACUGCAAAGCCUGCCAAAUUGGAUUUGAAAGCCGCGAAGGCCCAACACAUGCAGUACCUCAGCCUCCCGAAGACGCCGAAGAUGCCAAAGAUGCCCAAAGGUUUGGACGCCCACUCCAAGCGCUGGUUAAAAAUAAUAUGGAGACGGCACGGAAUUUGGCCUCUAGAAAAUAUAGGUCCCACUGAAGAUGUGCAGGCAUCUGCACACAGCGGUGUGGAGGAGAAUAUAACGUCAGAUAUUGAAAUAUCUGAGGCCGAGCACGACCACCGUACGUAUUCUUUUUUUUAAAAAAAGCUUUAUUUAGAUGUAGUUGACAUGCAAAACAAUUCACCCAUUUAAUGUAAGUGAUUCAGCGUUUUUACUAUAUUCACAGGGUUGUGCAACUAUUGUUACAAUCUAAUCUUAGAACCUCUUUAUUCCCCCUCAAAGAAACCCCACUAGUAGUCACUCCUUUGUCUUUCCCAAGCUCCCACACCCCUGGAUCUAGGCAGCCACAAAUGUACUUCCCGUUUCUAUAGUACAGUGCCUUUCUGUGUUAACCGAUUCUUAGGGUGACUAUUUCACAUUCAUGAGGUUGCUGUAGCUGGAAAGCCAAGGCUCUUUCAUUUGUUUCUGCCCUUCUCCUUUGCCUUCCUUCAACACCAAGGAGAAUGGUCCAGUAGCAGCUCAGUCCAUGCCUGUCAACUGCCCACCUCCAUACACUCCAGCCCCGGUCCACAUCCCCCAAGGCUCCUUGUGGGAUUCCUCAGCAACACCAAUGCACUGACUGUCACUAUGUUCUCCUAGAUUUGGUCAAAGAUCUCAAUGAAGGCUCAUCUGUCUGUCUUGAAGACCUCGUGACACAGGAGAUGGCAAAGGAGAGAUGCGAAGAUUACCUCUGCUGGGUUAAAAUGGCACAAUCUCGGCUCAAUGAACCCAUCAGCUCCCAGGUUCGAGGACUUCUCCGGCUUCCGUGUCCCGAGUAGCUGGGAUUACAGAUGCCUGCCAUCACGCCCAGCUAAAAUCAUUUUAUGAAUGCAUAUUUCCAUCUGGGUGAAAAAAAAUCAUAAGCCUCUCUCCCUUCCUACUGAGCACCUGUGAACAGUGACCUGCAGUUUGUGGCUGCAGCCAGUCCUCAUGGAGCCUGGUGUUCCUACAUUUCAUUCUGAGGCUCACAUUCUCAGUCACUCUGCAGGAGAACACCCGCCCCAUACUGGGUCAUUACAGAGUGGGCCAAUCCAUCUGCUGCAUCUGAGGAGCUGGGUCCAGCUUCUACGGUGAAUCCAUAUAUUUCUGUAUUUCCUGGAUAAGGAAGAGGAAAGGAGCUGAGCUGGUGGAGGAAGAAGAGCUAAUAUUAACUGACUCCUUAUUUUGUACCAGGUACUGUGGUAGUUACAUAUUUUAUCUCAUGUAAUUCUUACCAAACAGUAAGGGGGGUUGGGAGUGAUGGAGACAAUAUUGAUGUUAUCUCCAUUUUAGGGUGAGAAAAUGAAGGCUCAGAAAGGUUA
rnacentral:sRNA from 1 species